CUCAGUAGCGGCGAGUGACGCGGCAAAGCUCAGAUUUGAAAUCGGGUUUCCUCACGACUUGCAAAUUGCAGGCUGGAGUCUUUGUGGAAGCGUGUGACUGAGUCCCUUGGAACUGGGAGCCGUUGAGGGUGAGAGCCCCGUGAGACGCGUGCGGAAGCUGUAAGGCCCUUCUGACGAGUCGAGUUGUUUGGGAAUGCAGCUCUAAAUGGGUGGUAAAUUCCAUCUAAAGCUAAAUCUUGGCGAGAGACCGAUAGAGAACAAGAACUGUGAAGGAAAGAUGAAAAGCACUUUGAAAAGAGAGUGAAACAGCACGUGAAAUUGUUGAAAGGAAAGGGUAUUGGGCUCGACUUGGGAUUUGCGCACCGCUGCUCCUUGUGGGCGGCGCUCUGUGCUUUUCCUGGGCCAGCAUCGGUUUUUGCCGCAGGAAAAGGGAUGCUGGAAUGUGGCUCUUCGGAGUGUUAUAGGCAGUGCGAGAUGCUGCCUGCGGGGACCGAGGACUGGAACAUCUGUCUCGGAUGCUGGGACAACGGCGCAAUACCGCCCGUCUUGAAACACGGACCAUAA
rnacentral:rRNA from 1 species